AUGCAGCAGUGGCUGCUGGGCUUGGCCACUAAGCACAAGUGGUGGCUUCUCUUUCAAAUGACACAAGUUCUGUCCUCCUGUCUCUGCUCCCCCCUCAGCCUCCUGCCUGGCUCAGGCCCGCUGGAAGCAGCUGCCAGUCCACAAUUAACAGGCGCUAAUUGGGCUUCCAGGGGGGCUGCAGCUCAGCCUGCUCGGCCCAUUCACACUGGGAAUCCCAGAAUCACGAGGGGUUUGGGCUGGAGGGACCUUAAAGGCCAUGUCACCCCAUCCCCUGCACUGCCAGUGCCAGGUCCCCAGGUGCCACAUCUCAAACUCUGCCCGGAGAUCCAGGCACAGCCUUGUCCGAGGGGAGACCCCCUGUGCGCCCCUCAGAGCUGUCCUGGGACCCCGGCCCGUGGGAAGGAGCUUUGGGACACACCGGGGGCAGCAAAGGCUUCCACAGGCCCAAAUCCACAGGAGAGCCCUUGGAUCCCAAAACAGCCUCUGGAUGAGGAGCCCCGAGGGAUGCAGAUGUGGAUGCAGAUGUGGAUGUGGAUGCAGGAUGCUCCAGUCCCUGCUGCCCCCACCACCUGUGACCACCUGUGGCCUCAGCCUGCAGUGGGGGCUCCCCAGGUCACCAAGGAGAGGAACCAUCUCCACAGAGAGACACAGGGAGACAGCCCAAAAGUCGAGUCCCCAUGAGAGGGUUCUCUCCUGCACGGUGUCUGCAGAGGAACUUCACCUGAAGGCUUCUGCAGAGGAACCUCAGUGAAGCCUGUCAGACACAGGAUCCACCUGCCUUGGGGCGGGCCAGGGGGAUAAAUAUCACCUCCUCCCUGGUCCAGGAAUCACAGAAUCAUUAAAGUUGCAAAAGACCUCCAAGAUGGAGAGAAACUAUUUACAAGACCCUGGAGGGCCAGGAGCCAGGGAAUGGCUGCCAGGGGCAGAGGGCAGGGCUGGAUCUUGGGAUCUUGGGCAGGAAUUGUUCCCUGGCAGGGUGGGCAGGGGCUGGGAUGGAAUUGCCAGAGCAGCUGGGGCUGCCCCUGGAUCCCUGGCAGUGCCCAAGGCCAGGCUGGACAUUGGGAGCAGCUGGGACAGUGGGAGGUGUCCCUGCCGUGGCAGGGGUGGAAGGAGAUGAUCCUUAGGGUCACUUGCCACCCAAAGCACUUCAUGAUUCCAUGGUUCUCUGCUGUCUCUACAUUUGUGCCUGGGAACCCCAGGUAGACCCAUGGCAAACCCAUCUCGUGGUGGGUCUCACAGCUCAGCCAGUCUGUCUGGGAUGAUCCAUCAGGCAGGAAUCCCUCCUCAAGGUGGGACCUCCCUCCCUUGUCAGCUCCUCUGCAGACCCACAGACCUGGCCCUUAAAGCUGCCAAUCUCUGGGAGCUGCAUUUGCUUUGCUGGUUAAUCUUUAACUCUCCUUUGUGCCCACAAGAAUAGCUGUUCUCACUGAUAACCCCUGCCUGCUCCCUGCCUGCUCCCUGCGGGCUCUGCUCCCUAAUUAACUGAUGGAAAUUGCUGAUAUCCCUGGUACAAUAGAGGAGGAUAUCCAGCACUCUGCUACAGAAUUCUAGACUUUAUUGAGGUAUUUAUUCAUUCUUUUUUUAGCAAAGAAAGCAGGCACAGCCUCAUUCUCCAUUAGGCCUUUCUGUGGGAGGGAAAUCAAUAGAGGAAAUUAUGUCUGGUUCUAAUAUUUAUGUGGUG
ensembl:lncRNA